CCUCGAAGUACUCUGAGGCUUGUAGGAGGGUAAAAUAGAGACCCAGUAAAAUUGUAAUAAGCAGUGCUUGAAUUAUUUGGUUUCGGUUGUUUUCUAUUAGACUAUGGUGAGCUCAGGUGAUUGAUACCCCUGAUGCGAGUAAUACGGAUGUGUUUAGGAGUGGGACUUCUAGGGGAUUUAGCGGGGUGAUGCCUGUUGGGGGCCAGUGUCCCCCUAGUUGGGGGGUGGGAGCUAGGCUGGAGUGGUAAAAGGCUCAGAAAAAUCCUGCGAAGAAAAAAACUUCUGAGGUAAUAAAUAGGAUUAUCCCGUAUCGAAGGCCUUUCUGGACAGGUGGUGUGUGGUGGCCUUGGUAUGUGCUUUCUCGUGUUACAUCGCGCCAUCAUUGGUAUAUGGUUAGUGUGUUGGUUAGUAGGCCUAGUAUGAGGAGGGUUGUGGAGUGGAAGUGAAAUCACAUGGCUAGGCCGGAGGUCAUUAGGAGGGCUGAGAGGGCCCCUGUUAGGGGCCAUGGGCUGGGUUUUACUAUAUGAUAGGCAUGUGAUUGGUGGGUCAUUAUGUGUUGUCGUGCAGGUAGAGGCUUACUAGAAGUGUAAAAACGUAGGCUUGGAUUAAGGCGACAGCGAUUUCUAGGAUAGUCAGUAGAAUUAGAAUUGUGAAGAUGAUAAGUGUAGAGGGAAGGUUAAUAGUUGAUAUUGCUAGUGUGGCGCUUCCAAUUAGGUGCAUGAGUAGGUGGCCUGCAGUAAUGUUAGCGGUUAGGCGUACGGCCAGGGCUAUUGGUUGAAUGAGUAGGCUGAUGGUUUCGAUAAUAACUAGUAUAGGGAUAAGGGGUGUAGGUGUGCCUUGUGGUAAGAAGUGGGCUAGGGCAUUUUUAAUCUUAGAGCGAAAGCCUAUAAUCACUGCGCCCGCUCAUAAGGGGAUGGCCAUGGCUAGGAAGAUUGUAGUGGUGAGGGUGUUUAUUAUAAUAAUGUUUGUGUAUUCGGCUAUGAAGAAUAGGGCGAAGGGGCCUGCGGCGUAUUCGAUGUUGAAGCCUGAGACUAGUUCGGACUCCCUUU
rnacentral:lncRNA from 1 species